rnacentral:lncRNA from 1 species
UUCACAUAAUUAAGAUUUCUUAAUGAUUGCGCAAAAACGUAGCAUUGCCGUCAUAGUACACUCGCAAACAUGCUUUGUUUGUUUUUAGCACAUUGGCAUUGACAUGGUGUAACGUUAAUCUGUAAGAGGUUUACAGACGGAGCACAUUUCAUCAUGGCGAGCGUUGCAUCAGCCACGGACGCACCAUCAUCUCAAGAGGAACUUGAGAAUAAUGCUAUGGCUGGCCAUGACUCUAGCUUUAAGGUAAGGCAUAUCAUAUACACAUAUAAACAGCACUUGCCUUUAGCGAAAUGUCCAGUGGCAUCAUUCUGAUGUUUGAUAGAUACACCAGACAAUUAGAAACUCUCCUCCUCAGUCAAAUCUUGAUUCUUUCUCUGAUAAAUCCACUUUUCUUAUGGUCUUAUGGUCAUCUUAGUGUCCACAUACUGUUUCUAAAAUUCAUAGCAUAAUGAAAGAGCAUUUUGAGUGGCUAUACAGUCUUAGUUGAGUCUUAGUGUCUUGAGUAGACUCGUGGUAGACUCCUUGUUCCAUCGCAUAUUUUGACCUCCAUGGCUCCAAAAUGUGACCUUGGACCCCUCUUUUUGGCAGUUACCAGAAAGGUCCUAGCUCUUCCAAGAUCCCGUGCUGAAAAGAGAAUCCAGUCUCUCAGAUCACUGUAAGCCCUGUCAAUCAAGCUUGGCUUGGCUUUGAGCAUGCUCUCUGUCUCUCUCUACCUUUCUCUGACUCAGGGGGUGAUUAAGCCUGAGUUCUUUUAAACACAGGCUAAAUCACACCAUUGCAAUGAAGUAAGCAUAGUAUUAUAGACAAAUAUCUGCAAUCAUGCCUUAGGUUGGUAGCUGCUUACAAAAAUAGAGCAUUUAUAUAGUGUAUGGAUGAGAGAAAGAGCUACAAAUAAAACAGUAUUUAAUUCUGAUCAACUGAUUCAUUGAAAUGAUUCAAAUAAAAAAAAUGAUUCAUUCACAAAUCAGGCACUGCUAUUUU